rnacentral:rRNA from 1 species
UACGGGGGGGGCAAGCGUUGUUCGGAAUUACUGGGCGUAAAGGGCUCGUAGGUGGCCAACUAAGUCAUACGUGAAAUCCCUCAGCUUAACUGGGGAACUGCGUGUGAUACUGGAUGGCUUGGAUUUGGGAGAGGGAUGCGGAAUUCCAGGUGUAGCGGUGAAAUGCGUAGAUAUCUGGAGGAACACCGGUGGCGAAGGCGGCAUCCUGGACCAAUAUUGACGCUGAGGAGCGAAAGCCAGGGGAGCAAAGCGGG